UACGUAGGGGGCUAGCGUUGUCCGGAAUCAUUGGGCGUAAAGAGCGUGUAGGCGGCCUGAAAGGUCAGCUGUGAAAACUCGAGGCUCAACCUCGAGACGUCGGUUGAAACCAUCUGGCUAGAGUCCGGAAGAGGAGUGUGGAAUUCCCGGUGUAGCGGUGAAAUGCGCAGAUAUCGGGAAGAACACCCGUGGCGAAGGCGGCACUCUGGGACGGUACUGACGCUGAGACGCGAAAGCGUGGGGAGCGAACAGG
rnacentral:rRNA from 1 species